GCCCUUUCAAAAAUAAAAGGUGUUACCUGCCCAAUGGUUUAUAAAUAAUAAUCAUAAAUUGUUAAAAAAUAAAUUUAAAGGACGCGGUAUCUUGACCGUGAUAAUGUAGCAUAAUCAUUCGCCACUUAAUUUGUGGAUAGUAUGAAUGGUAUAACGAGUAUAACACUGUCUUAAAAGGAAAUCUUAUAAAAUUAGAAUAAUAGUAAAGAUACUAUUUAAAACUGUAAGACGAGAAGACCCUAUAGAGCUUAACUAUAACUCUUUUUAAAUCUAAAAAUUUAUUUAUUUUAAUAAAGAGAUAGGUAGUUUAGUUGGGGCGACUGCUUUCUAAAAACAACGAAAGUAAGCAAAAUUAAUUAUUGAAUUUACUGUAUAAAUAAUAAAUUUAACAGUUAUGAAAAUAGGCAAUAGUGACCCGUUAAUAAUCAGUAAAAGUUUUAACGAUUAAUAAAUAAAAGCUACCUUAGGGAUAACAGGAUAAUUUUGUUCUAGAGAUCAUAUCGAAAACAAAGUUUGUCACCUCUAUGUUGAAUUGAGACAUCCUAGAAGUGCAGAAGCUUCUGAGGGUAGGUCUGUUCGACCUAUAAAGUCUU
rnacentral:rRNA from 3 species